CCCUACGGGGGGCAGCAGUGGGGAAUAUUGCACAAUGGGGGAAACCCUGAUGCAGCGACGCCGCGUGAGUGAAGAAGUAUUUCGGUACGUAAAGCUCUAUCAGCAGGGAAGAAAAAAAGUCCUUUGGACUUUGGACGGUACCUGACUAAGAAGCCCCGGCUAACUACGUGCCAGCAGCCGCGGUAAUACGUAGGGGGCAAGCGUUAUCCGGAUUUACUGGGUGUAAAGGGGGCGCAGACGGCCAUGGCAAGCCCGGUGUGAAAGGGGCGGGCACAACCCGCAGACUGCACUGGUAACUGCCUGGG
rnacentral:rRNA from 1 species